GGUGAACGCUGGCGGCGUGCUUAAGACAUGCAAGUCGAACGGCAGUAUUCGGACUGUAGUGGCGCACGGGUGAGUAACGCGUAACUGACCUACCCCAAAGUCGAGGAUAACGAAUCGAAAGAAUCGCGAAUACGUGCUGUGCUGUCAGAUUGUGUUCUGCCAGUAUAGAGUGAUUGCUUUGGGAUGGGGUUGCGUUCCAUCAGCUAGUUGGUGGGGUAAAGGCCCACCAAGGCGACUACGGAUAGCCGGCCUGAGAGGGUGGCCGGCCACAGGGGCACUGAGACACGGGUCCCACUCCUACGGGAGGCAGCAGUUAGGAAUCUUCCACAAUGGGCGCAAGCCUGAUGGAGCGACGCCGCGUGAGGGAUGAAGGUCUUCUGAUCGUAAACCUCUGAAUCAGGGACGAAAGACACUUCGGUGGGAUGACGGUACCUGAGUAAUAGCACCGGCUAACUCCGUGCCAGCAGCCGCCGUAAAAC
rnacentral:rRNA from 1 species